rnacentral:misc_RNA from 1 species
AAGUCGUAACAAGGUUUCCGUAGGUGAACCUGCGGAAGGAUCAUUAACAAAUCAUUGUGUGCUGGUCUUCGGACCGGUAACAUAUAAACCCGAACCUGUGCAGCAAUGCCAGGCUAGGUGUGGGAGUCAAAUCCCGCGGUGACGGAUAAGGCCCUAACCGGUCUGGUCUCGAUCCACAUAUACGCUUUUUUUGUUUGACAGUAUCAGUUGACACUUUAAAAAUGACAACUUUUAACAAUGGAUCUCUUGGCUCUU